AGCAGCCGCGGUAAUUCCAGCUCCAAUAGCGUAUAUUAAAGUUGUUGCAGUUAAAAAGCUCGUAGUUGAAUUUCGGGGUCAGUAGGUCGGUCGUGCCACUGGUAUGAACUGGUUUUACUGAUUCCUCCCUCUUGAAGAACUGUAAUGCCAUUAAUUUGGUGUUGCAGGGAAUCAGGACUGUUACUUUGAAAAAAUUAGAGUGUUUAAAGCAGGCUCGCGCUUGAAUACAUUAGCAUGGAAUAA
rnacentral:rRNA from 1 species